rnacentral:rRNA from 1 species
AUUGAACGCUGGCGGCAGGCUUAACACAUGCAAGUCGAGCGGAGAGAGGUAGCUUGCUACCGAUCUUAGCGGCGGACGGGUGAGUAAUGCUUAGGAAUCUGCCUAUUAGUGGGGGACAACAUUUCGAAAGGAAUGUUAAUACCGCAUACGUCCUACGGGAGAAAGCAGGGGAUCUUCGGACCUUGCGCUAAUAGAUGAGCCUAAGUCGGAUUAGCUAGUUGGUGGGGUAAAGGCCUACCAAGGCGACGAUCUGUAGCGGGUCUGAGAGGAUGAUCCGCCACACUGGGACUGAGACACGGCCCAGACUCCUACGGGAGGCAGCAGUGGGGAAUAUUGGACAAUGGGCGAAAGCCUGAUCCAGCCAUGCCGCGUGUGUGAAGAAGGUCUUCGGAUUGUAAAGCACUUUAAGUUGGGAGGAAGGGUAUUCACCUAAUACGUGGGUACUUUGACGUUACCAACAGAAUAAGCACCGGCUAACUCUGUGCCAGCCGCCGCGGUAACAC